rnacentral:rRNA from 1 species
CGGGGUGCAGCAGGCGCGAAAACUUUACAAUGCCGGCAACGGCGAUAAGGGGACCUCGAGUGCCAGGUUACAAAUCUGGCUGUCGAGAUGCCUAAAAAGCAUUUCAUAGCAAGGGCCGGGCAAGACCGGUGCCAGCCGCCGCGGUAACACCGGCGGCUUGAGUGGUAACCGUUAUUAUUGGGUCUAAAGGGUCUGUAGCCGGCCGGAUAAGUCUCCUGGGAAAUCCAGCAGCUCAACUGUUGGGCUUUCGGGAGAUACUGUAUGGCUCGAGGCCGGGAGAGGUGAGAGGUACUUCAGGGGUAGGGGUGAAAUCUUGUAAUCCUUGAAGGACCACCAGUGGCGAAGGCGUCUCACCAGAACGGACCUGACGGCAAGGGACGAAAGCUAGGGGCACGAACCGGAUUAGAUACCCGGGUAGUCCUAGCCGUAAACGAUACUCGCUAGGUGUCGGCCACGGUGCGACCGUUGUCGGUGCCGUAGGGAAGCCGUGAAGCGAGCCACCUGGGAAGUACGGCCGCAAGGAUGAAACUUAAAGGAAUCGGCGGGCGAGCAC